UUUGGUCUUGCGCUGGAGAUGGUCUAAUGACCAACAAUCAAAGUUCGAAAAUGGUUCCUGGGCGGGUCUGGCAUCUCUGCAAAUGCAUCAAGCUAGCGACUCACUCUUUCUCAUCGUUUAUCAACAACGUAAAGGUUAGCUCUUCCCAACAAUUCACUCUUUUUAUCUGUGCAUUCUUUAUGCUGCGACUUAGAGUGCUUUCGUUGAAGAGGGAUGUUGUGGCAACAAUUGUUCAUGAACUCAGGCCAAAUCCUUCCGAUCACAAGACAAAGGCUAAAGGUGGGGGUCUUUCACAUGUGGAAUGAGGAAACUCAAGCCAUGCUAGCAGUUCAAAGGCUGAAAUGAACAAGUUAUGCUAACUGUGACCUGCUGUGCUUCUUAAGAAUGGAACACUCUUUGUACGUACAUCGAUAAUAAAAAUACCAUGGAAAUUACUUGAAUUGUUGUCACAAUCCUUAUUUGUGGCUCUUUUUCUAUGUUUUCUUUCUUUCGCUU